rnacentral:rRNA from 18 species
AAAUUGAAGAGUUUGAUCAUGGCUCAGAUUGAACGCUGGCGGCAGGCCUAACACAUGCAAGUCGAACGGUAACAGGAAACAGCUUGCUGUUUCGCUGACGAGUGGCGGACGGGUGAGUAAUGUCUGGGAAACUGCCUGAUGGAGGGGGAUAACUACUGGAAACGGUAGCUAAUACCGCAUAACGUCGCAAGACCAAAGAGGGGGACCUUCGGGCCUCUUGCCAUCGGAUGUGCCCAGAUGGGAUUAGCUAGUAGGUGGGGUAACGGCUCACCUAGGCGACGAUCCCUAGCUGGUCUGAGAGGAUGACCAGCCACACUGGAACUGAGACACGGUCCAGACUCCUACGGGAGGCAGCAGUGGGGAAUAUUGCACAAUGGGCGCAAGCCUGAUGCAGCCAUGCCGCGUGUAUGAAGAAGGCCUUCGGGUUGUAAAGUACUUUCAGCGGGGAGGAAGGGAGUAAAGUUAAUACCUUUGCUCAUUGACGUUACCCGCAGAAGAAGCACCGGCUAACUCCGUGCCAGCAGCCGCGGUAAUACGGAGGGUGCAAGCGUUAAUCGGAAUUACUGGGCGUAAAGCGCACGCAGGCGGUUUGUUAAGUCAGAUGUGAAAUCCCCGGGCUCAACCUGGGAACUGCAUCUGAUACUGGCAAGCUUGAGUCUCGUAGAGGGGGGUAGAAUUCCAGGUGUAGCGGUGAAAUGCGUAGAGAUCUGGAGGAAUACCGGUGGCGAAGGCGGCCCCCUGGACGAAGACUGACGCUCAGGUGCGAAAGCGUGGGGAGCAAACAGGAUUAGAUACCCUGGUAGUCCACGCCGUAAACGAUGUCGACUUGGAGGUUGUGCCCUUGAGGCGUGGCUUCCGGAGCUAACGCGUUAAGUCGACCGCCUGGGGAGUACGGCCGCAAGGUUAAAACUCAAAUGAAUUGACGGGGGCCCGCACAAGCGGUGGAGCAUGUGGUUUAAUUCGAUGCAACGCGAAGAACCUUACCUGGUCUUGACAUCCACGGAAGUUUUCAGAGAUGAGAAUGUGCCUUCGGGAACCGUGAGACAGGUGCUGCAUGGCUGUCGUCAGCUCGUGUUGUGAAAUGUUGGGUUAAGUCCCGCAACGAGCGCAACCCUUAUCCUUUGUUGCCAGCGGUCCGGCCGGGAACUCAAAGGAGACUGCCAGUGAUAAACUGGAGGAAGGUGGGGAUGACGUCAAGUCAUCAUGGCCCUUACGACCAGGGCUACACACGUGCUACAAUGGCGCAUACAAAGAGAAGCGACCUCGCGAGAGCAAGCGGACCUCAUAAAGUGCGUCGUAGUCCGGAUUGGAGUCUGCAACUCGACUCCAUGAAGUCGGAAUCGCUAGUAAUCGUGGAUCAGAAUGCCACGGUGAAUACGUUCCCGGGCCUUGUACACACCGCCCGUCACACCAUGGGAGUGGGUUGCAAAAGAAGUAGGUAGCUUAACCUUCGGGAGGGCGCUUACCACUUUGUGAUUCAUGACUGGGGUGAAGUCGUAACAAGGUAACCGUAGGGGAACCUGCGGUUGGAUCACCUCCUUACCUUAAAGAAGC